AUGGUGGAGGAGGCUUGGAUAUUGCACCAAGACACAUCAAGAUUGUGUCAAUGGUAUUCCAAAGUUUGUUUCCCACACCUCAAGAUGUUGGUCGCUCAACAUGAUUUCUCGCCUGAAUUCAUUCAUUACUUCAAGAAGAUAACCUUUUUAGACCUGGAGGGGACGGGAAGAGAUGGAUUGCCUUCCGAGAUAUGCAUAUUGUUGAAUCUGCAACAUCUCAAUCUUUCUGCAGCAGCAAUUAAUGCCCUGCCUCUAGAACUGGAAAGACUUUCAAAUCUCAAAGAAUUGUCCAUCAUAGCAAGCUCUCAUAGUAAGGUAUUGGUAGCUGAAGGUGGCUCUAGCUAUGAAGACUGGCUACUCCCUUACCUUGAAAUAUUUGAACUGAACAAUAUGUUCAAGCUAGAGAAAGUGACAAGGAAGAAUGCGGGGAUGGACAUUAGAGUGGUCAGUAUUUACAAAUGCGAUAAACUAAAAGAUGUCCUCGAGCAGCUUACAAUUGCACAGUGCCAGGAAAUGGAAAGGUUGAUUGAAAAUGGAGAAUCGCUUUACGCGCCAAUAAUUUUUCCUCGGCUGAAAAGGCUUAAAUUGGAAGAGCUGCCAAAGCUAUCCACGACAUACAAGAAAGCUUGGGAUUUUGAAGAGUUGUCUUAUAUUUAUGUAGCUCAGUGCAGUGAGAUGAAGAAUAUCCAAAAUCAAACGGUAGACUGCAAGGGCCUACAAGUACCCUUUUGGGGGCAUCGUUUUGGAGCAAAUGUUGGCUAG
rnacentral:rRNA from 1 species